UAGGGAAUCUUCCACAAUGGGCGAAAGACCUGAUGGAGCAACGCCGCGUGUGUGAUGAAGGGUUUCGGCUCGUAAACACUGUUGUAAGAGAAGAAUGACAUUGAGAGUAACUGUUCAAUGUGUGACCGGUAUCUUACCAGAAAGGAACGGCUAAAUACGUGCCAG
rnacentral:rRNA from 1 species